rnacentral:rRNA from 1 species
UACGGGGGGAGCAAGCGUUGUUCGGAUUUACUGGGCGUAAAGGGCGCGUAGGCGGUAGCACAAGUCAGUUGUGGAAUCUCCGGGCUUAACCCGGAGCGGCCAAGUGAUACUGCCGGGCUAGAGGAUGGUAGAGGCGAGUGGAAUUCCCGGUGUAGCGGUGAAAUGCGCAGAUAUCGGGAGGAACACCAGUAGCGAAGGCGGCUCGCUGGGCCAUACCUGACGCUGAGACGCGAAAGCGUGGGGAGCAAACAGG